CAUUAAUACAUGUUGAGUGUGCUUUNAUUGCGNACUCUUUGUAUNAUCAUUACCCCCCAANNCCCAGAGGUGCAUUGUGGCUUUGCAAAAAGUUAGCAGUGUAUCAGUACGUAUUACAAAGUCUGACUUUGNUUUUACAUUACAUAUAAGUUACCCCCUAUUUACACUUAAGAAGUUUUAAGAAUGAUACCCUAUAAUUAUAUAACUUUCAGCAAUGGAUCUCUAGGCUCUCACGUCGAUGAAGAACACAGUGAAAUGUGAUACGUAAUGUGAAUUGCAGAAUUCAGUGAAUCAUCGAAUCUUUGAACGCACCUUGCACCUUUUGGUUAUUCCGAAAGGUACGCCUGUUUGAAUGUCACGAAACCCCCCUCGGCUUUAACACUUUCUAAAAGGGUUAUUGACGGAUUCUGAGUGUUGGCGUGUCAACGCCUCGCUUUAAAUAUAUCAGCACUUUUGGACGNGUUMCAUGUUAGUUCAAAAGACGUACUUGAUGUCGUAUUUAUACAAUUCAUCGAGAUGGUCUUUGGUCGUAUCGACUAUCCGCUAAUGUNGAAAACUUGAAGAAUAGCUUCCUAACCCCAAUCGAAUUUANNNCCUUUAGACUUCAAAUCAGGUGGGACUACCCGCUGAACUUAANNNGCAUAUCAAUAAGCGGAGGAAAAGAAAAUAACUAUGAUUCCCUUAGUAACGGCGAGUGAACAGGGAAAAGCCCAAAUUUGUAAUCUGGCAUCUUUUNACAGAUGUCCG
rnacentral:rRNA from 1 species